GAUCCGGUGGUUCUGAAUGGAAGGGCCAUCGCUCAACGGAUAAAAGGUACUCCGGGGAUAACAGGCUGAUACCGCCCAAGAGUUCAUAUCGACGGCGGUGUUUGGGCACCUCGAUGUCGGCUCAUCACAUCCUGGGGGCUGAAGUAGGUCCCAAGGGUAUGGCUGUUCGCCAUUUAAAGUGGUACGCGAGCUGGGUUUAGAACGUCGUGAGACAGUUCGGUCCCUAUCUGCCGUGGGCGUUGGAAGAUUGAGAGGGGUUGCUCCUAGUACGAGAGGACCGGAGUGAACGCACCACUGGUGUUCGGGUUGUCAUGCCAAUGGCAUUGCCCGGUAGCUAAGUGCGGAAGAGAUAACCGCUGAA
rnacentral:rRNA from 1 species